UCGAGAAUCUUCGGCAAUGGACGAAAGUCUGACCGAGCGACGCCGCGUGCGGGAUGAAGGCCCUCGGGUUGUAAACCGCUGUCAGUUGGGAGGAAAGGUCUGUGCAGAGCAGACCCUGACCGAUCUUCAGAGGAAGGACGGGCUAAGUUCGUGCCAGCAGCCGCGGUAAGACGAACCGUCCAAACGUUAUUCGGUAUCACUGGGCUUAAAGCGUGCGUAGGCGGCCAGGUAGGUGAGAUGUGAAAGCCCACGGCUCAACCGUGGAAUUGCGUUUCAAACCCUCUGGCUUGAGGGAGACAGGGGUGUUGGGAACUUAUGGUGGAGCGGUGAAAUGCGUUGAUAUCAUAGGGAACACCGGUGGCGAAGGCGCAACACUGGGUCUUUUCUGACGCUGAGGCACGAAAGCUAGGGUAGCGAACG
rnacentral:rRNA from 1 species